rnacentral:rRNA from 1 species
UACGGGGGGGGCAAGCGUUGUUCGGAAUUACUGGGCGUAAAGGGCUCGUAGGCGGCCAACUAAGUCGGACGUGAAAUCCCCAGGCUCAACCUGGGAACUGCGUCCGAUACUGGAUGGCUUGAAUCCGGGAGAGGGAUGCAGAAUUCCAGGUGUAGCGGUGAAAUGCGUAGAUAUCAGGAGGAACACCGGUGGCGAAGGCGGGUCUCUGGGCAACUACUGACGCUGAGGAGCGAAAGCGUGGGGAGCGAACAGG